AUUGAACGCUGGCGGCAUGCUUUACACAUGCAAGUCGAGCGGUAACAGGCCUUCGGGUGCUGUCGAGUGGCGAACGGGUGAGUAAUGCAACGGAAUGUGCCCCGAGGCGGGGGAUAACGCAGCGCAAGCUGUGCUAAUACCUCAUGUGAUCUGAGGAUGAAAGCGGGGGAGCACGCAGCAAUGUUUGGCCUCGCGCCUUUGGAGCGGCCGAUGUCGGAUUAGGUAGUUGGUGGGGUAAAGGCCUACCAAGCCGACGAUCUGUAGCUGGUCUGAGAGGACGACCAGCCACACUGGAACUGAGACACGGCCCAGACUCCUACGGGAGGCAGCAGUGGGGAAUUUUGGACAAUGGGCGCAAGCCUGAUCCAGCAAUGCCGCGUGCGGGAAGAAGGCCUUCGGGUUGUAAACCGCUUUUGUACGGAACGAAAAGGCGCGGGCUAAUACCUGGAGCUGAUGACGGUACCGUAAGAAUAAGCACCGGCUAACUACGUG
rnacentral:rRNA from 1 species